UGGUGCAUGUGGCUUAUUCGACGCAACGCGAAGAACCUUACCAAGGCUUGACAUACACCGGAAAACCCUGGAGACAGGGUCCCCCUUGUGGUCGGUGUACAGGUGGUGCAUGGCUGUCGUCAGCUCGUGUCGUGAGAUGUUGGGUUAAGUCCCGCAACGAGCGCAACCCUUGUUCUGUGUUGCCAGCAUGCCCUUCGGGGUGAUGGGGACUCACAGGAGACUGCCGGGGUCACUCCGGAGGAAGA
rnacentral:rRNA from 1 species